AGCUUUGCACAGUGGUAAUAUUGUAACCAAUGAGGUUUAUCAGAAGAACGAUUAUUGCUAAUUGAAAACUUUUCCCAAGAAAUGUAUCAUGUUAUCUGCAAAUAAUGAUAAUUUAACUUCUUUACCUAUUCUUAUU